rnacentral:rRNA from 1 species
GCAUGUGGUUUAAUUCGAAGCAACGCGAAGAACCUUACCAGGUCUUGACAUCCCUUGACAGCCUCAGAGAUGAGGUAUCUCUUCGGAGCAAGGAGACAGGUGGUGCAUGGUUGUCGUCAGCUCGUGUCGUGAGAUGUUGGGUUAAGUCCCGCAACGAGCGCAACCCUUGCCUUUAGUUGCCAUCAUUCAGUUGGGCACUCUAGAGGGACUGCCGGUGACAAACCGGAGGAAGGUGGGGAUGACGUCAAAUCAUCAUGCCCCUUAUGUCCUGGGCUACACACGUGCUACAAUGGUCUGUACAGAGGGAAGCGAAGCAGCGAUGUGAAGCGAAUCCCAGAAAACAGAUCUCAGUUCGGAUUGUAGGCUGCAACUCGCCUACAUGAAGCUGGAAUCGCUAGUAAUCGCAGGUCAGCAUACUGCGGUGAAUACGUUCCCGGGCCUUGUACACACCGCCCGUCACACCACGAAAGUUUGCAACACCCGAAGCCGGUGGCCUAACCCGCAAGGGAGGGAGCCGUCGAAGGUGGGGCAGAUGAUUGGGGUGAAGUCGUAACAAGGUAGCCGUAUCGGAAGGUGCGGCUGGAUCACCUCCUU